CCUACGGGAGGCAGCAGUGAGGAAUAUUGGUCAAUGGACGCAAGUCUGAACCAGCCAUGCCGCGUGCAGGAAGACGGCUCUAUGAGUUGUACACUGCUUUUGUACGAGGGUAAACGCAGAUACGCGUAUCUGUCUGAAAGUAUCGUACGAAUACGGAUCGGCUAACUCCGUGCCAGCAGCCGCGGUAAUACGGAGGAUUCAAGCGUUAUCCGGAUUUAUUGGGUUUAAAGGGUGCGUAGGCGGUCGGAUAAGUUAGAGGUGAAAUCCCGAGGCUCAACUUCGGAAUUGCCUCUGAUACUGUUCGGCUAGAGAGUAGUUGCGGUAGGCGGAAUGUAUGGUGUAGCGGUGAAAUGCUUAGAGAUCAUAUAGAACACCGAUUGCGAAGGCAGCUUACCAAGCUACUUCUGACGUUGAGGCACGAAAGCGUGGGGAGCAAACAGGAUUAGAUACCCGGGUAGUC
rnacentral:rRNA from 1 species